CAGGAUUCUGGCAGGAGGAGAGCAUCCCUAGCAGAAGGGCCUUCUGGAAAUAGCCCUUGCUGCCCACCACGCAGCCCUGGGGUGUUGGGCUCAGCAUGGACGGCUGUAGGAAGCCCUGCACCUGGGGUCCUCUGGAAGCUGAACAGCAGUGCGAGUGUCUUCAGCAGCAGGGCAGGAAAGACGAGCUGAAGCAGGGAUACCUUUGGGGUCAAAUUCAAAAAUCAUUGUCCAGACUAAUGUGAUAUAGGUUUUCCCCUAUGUUUUCUUAUAGUAGUUGUAGUUUCAGGCCUUACAUUUAAGUGUGUAAUCCAUUUUGAGUUGGUUUUUGUUGAGAUUGUGUUGUGGAUAAAGUGUGAGAGAUAUAUGGUGAGCAAUAAGGGUCCAAUUUCAUUCUUCUGCAUGUGGGUGUUGUUUCCCCAACAUGCUCUGUUGAAGAGACUGUGCUUUUUCCAUUGUGUAUUCUGAGUACCUUUGUUGAAAAUCAAUUGACAAUAAAUCCAUGGGUUCAUAUUGGGCCUCUAUUCUCUUCCAUUGGUUGACAUGUCUGUUUUUAUGUGGAAGGAAUGUACCUCAGUGCAAUAAAGGAUAUAACAAGCCAACAGCUAACAUUUGCAUUGAAUGGUGAAAACUUAAAAGCUUUUCCUCUAAGAUCGGGAACAAGACAAGGAUGUCCACUCUCACCGCUGCUUUCCAAUAAGCACUAGAAGCCCUAGCCAGAGCAAUUAGGCAAGAGAAAGAAAUAAAGGGCAUCUAAAUUGCAAAGGAAAAAGCCAAAUUAUGCUUGUUUGCAGGCAACAUGAUUUUAUAUGCUGAAAACCCUAAAGAUUCCACACACAAAAAAAACCUGUUAGAACUAAUAAGUACAGGAAAGUUGCAGGAUACAAAAUCUACAUGCAGAAUUUAGUACCAUUUCCAUAUAGUAACAACAAACUAUCCAAGAA
rnacentral:lncRNA from 1 species